ACUAAGCAUCCAUUUAUGUUUGAUUCUUCAAAUAUCCAUCGUUCACAAAGUCAUUGAUUUUUUGUUGUGCCUGUUGUUAAUUCUGUACUUGUUUUAAAAAGACUUGUACCAUUCUCUGUAUGGUAAACUGCCUUUGUGAAUUAAUAAUAGAGAUGUGUCUAUUACAUUAUAAUUGUUAAGGUAUGGCUGAUAAAUAAGACAACGCAGAGUUAAUAUUAAAAGUAAGAUUUAUUAUAAGAAACAGUGGAAAAGAAAGAACUGGUGGACAAGCCUAGAGCGAGACCGAAUACAGAAUACAGUGUACCAGCAGGACGCAACAGCACCCUGUACUAAGGGACUGUGCGGCCCAUAGGAGGAGUAGGGGUAAAGAGUAGGGGUGACGGAGUGAGAAGACAUAACGUCUCUUAUAUACGCUAUUCUUAACACUCCCUCCCGGUAUGUCUCGAUACUCCACAAACUUUUGUUAAUAAACUCUUUAAAUGGUUUAAACCAUACAAUAUA